GUCCACGCCCUAAACGAUGUCGACUGGUUGUUGGGGUUUGACACUCUCAGUAACGAAGCUAACGCGUGAAGUCGACCGCCUGGGGAGUACGGCCGCAAGGUUAAAACUCAAAGGAAUUGACGGGGACCCGCACAAGCGGUGGAUUAUGUGGAUUAAUUCGAUGCAACGCGAAAAACCUUACCUACCCUUGACAUGUCCGAGAGGCUGGAGAAAUCCAGCUGUGCCCGAAAGGGAAUCGGAACACAGGUGCUGCAUGGCUGUCGU
rnacentral:rRNA from 1 species